AAACGUCGGUCUAAACUCGGUUUUUGCCGACAUUUGGAACGUCAUUUUGAGCCGACAUUUUGAAGCGUCGGUCUAAGAUGGUUUUUGCCGACGUUUUUCAAAAAGCGUCGAGAACCCUUUCCCAACUAGGUCAACGGCGACCCAAACCCGCUCUCUGCUGGUGGGAUUGUGUGGGAACAGACUCUAACGUGUCAUUCAGAAUCAAUUGGAUCAUUCACAGCAACAUGGUGUUAGAGGCCAGUAUGACGGCCAAAAAUUUCAAGCCCCGCUGCAGGCAGAGCUUCCCCAUUCCCACCAUGCAGCCAACCCAAAUAUCGUACAUGACGAUAAGUUUCCGCUUUUCCGAGAGAAAAAGAAACAGUUUGCUGUGCGCCAUUAUGUUUUUCCAGCUAAUCACUUAUGCGAUUUUGGCCUGCUUCAGUCUGCUGUGAUCGAAAAGGGGUGUUAUUUACAACAAAAAUCGCUAAUGAUAGAAUCGUUCACUUAAUAACCUCCAAUCACGUGAAAUACGUUAGCCUUGGUUCUUUAAUUUGGUCUGAUAAAAAAGGGAUGUGGCGAGUUAUAACACGAACCAGCUGUUAUUUUUCGGAUUCUGCUGUUUGUCUUGAGGGUGAUAACUCACCGAAAUGGACGUUUCUUUUCUUCUUGCUAAAAAUCGAGGGGCUUUUAUGCAAAUUAUUUCAAACUUUAAUAUUAUUUAUCUAUUGUUCAGUAUGUGACCAGCCAAAGAAGCUGCACUUCCAUGAUUACAUUCGGCCAUUUAGAACAAAAUACUUCAUUUAAAAGGUUUUCUUCGUUUAUACAUUGAUAGUAUAGGGUCCAUAAAAAUUCAUUAUAUGAGCAUUAGAUAAUAUAAUAAAUUUGCAUGUUUUUCUGGUUUUUCUCCUUAUUCAAGGCAUCACUUAAAAUACAAAUGGCAGUGUAUAUACAGCAGAAGAAAGUGUAGGAUUCACAGCAGAAAAUUUCUUUUUUAUAAUCGGUCCCUGGUCUGGAAGAAUAUUCUUUGCUGAUUUCAUCAGGGUGGGGUGCGGUUGACUUCUUGGGUUCACUACGAGGUGAUUGCUUUUAAUUGUUGCUGCGAGAUGAUUGCUUUCUAUUUUUGUUGGAGGUGAUUGCUUUUAAAUUUUGUCGAGCUUUAUUACUGAUGAAAUCUACUUUCAUAAUUUAUGCGACGGCUUAUUCAUAUAUGACACUCCAUGCGUUGCUUCAUACUCUUUAUCGCGACAGCAACGACGAAAUUUUGGUUAAAAAAUUCAGAAGAUGGGGUUUCUCCAAUCUUGGUUGCAAAUUAAGUCCUCCUGCCUUUCUGAAUAUUUAUUGCUUGUUUAUGAGCAUUUGAGUAAGUUUUGUACUUCCUCUACAGGUAAUUGAUUAUCGGUUUCAUUGAUAGUUAUGCAGGUAACUGAUUAUCAAUUUUCAUUGAUAGAGACAUUUAUUGAGGUACAAAAACAAAUAAGGCAAGAGGAAAGGGGUAUGGUCUCAUUUUUGUUUUAUCGAUCUGAAAUUUUUAUAUCAGAUAAAUAAUAAAGACGCUUGUCUUGGUCACCUAAAAGAAAGCUCAUGCAUCUGCUGGUUUCACCAUUCUUGAUUGCAAAUUAGGUACUCCUGCCUUUCGGAGCAUUUGUUGGCUGUUUAUAAGCAUUUGAGUAAGUUCUGUUUUCUUUUUUUUUUUAAUGUGGGAAGCUUAUAAAUCAAUAAUUAAAAAAUAUUGCAGAUAAUUGAUUAUCAGUUUCCAUUGGUAGACACAUUUAUUGAGGUCAAAGACAAAUGAGACAAGAGUAAGGAGCUCUAGUCUCAUUUUGUUUUUUGGAUCUGAAAAUUUUAUAUGAGAUAAUAUAGUAAAGAUUUUUUUUUUCUGUUGCACUUCUUUAUAUCUAUUUAAUCUUGAAAUUAAGCCUCUCGAAUUAUUUUUGGAUAUCCUUUGGACUGUGUACCCGGAUUGAUACAGUCCCUUGUUUUAAGCUCGAUCACAAAUUUCCUUAACCUGAUGGAGGAAAUCUUGUUUCACCAAAGCAUGGCUUUCUCUUAUGCCAACUUCUCAUCUAUAGUUCAUCUAUCAAAUUGUUAAUAGUAAUGCGGAGUGCUCAGACAAAGAGCUGCUGCUCAGGAAAACAGUGUGGCUUAGAUCUUAAUCGAAAUGUAAAUAUAUUGUUAGCACUUAGCAGGGUUCCAUUGCACCUCGAUUCUACGAUUCAAAUCACGACUCUAACAAUCAUGGUUAGCAGGGUUCCAUUGUAGGUGCAAAAUAGCCAUGUUAGAUUUAGUUCUGUAUAAACUCCUCAAAAGUCAUAUGGAUAUUGCACGUGGAGGGGCAGGAAUCAGGACUUUUUGGAAGAAGCCACGUAUACAACAGCUAUGGUAACAUUAGAUCCUAUAGGCUCUUAAGAAUAAGAUUUUUUUUCCAUCCCCAAAGUGGCAUAUAAAGUCAUCCCUUAGAUGUAGCAAAUUGAAAAUGCAUGAAGGAUUAACUCCUGGUGCAUCAUGACCUCUGCUAGUAACCCCUCAUUACAACUGGAUAACUUCAACUAAGGUUUUUCUCUUUUUUGUGUUUCUUCCUUCCUUGGGAAUGAAUUUGGUUAUGUGCGUCCUUAAGGUGUUUUGUUUUCUUGCUUUGCUCUCCCUCAUUCGGUCCCUUUUUUUUUUUAGGAUAAACAUAUUAACAAUUUGGUAUAGGUUACUGGUUUGUUGAGCUUUACUUUUUCAAAUUAUUAAUAUAAUCCUUCUUAACCUCAUUCUGUUUUUAUGCUACUUUGCUUAAGAGCCUCAAGUGCUUUGAUUACAGAAAUCAAAUUUGUGGCGAUGCUCAUACAGAAUUUUGCUCAUAAUACUCGGGCAUACUUUGUAAGAACUAUGUGGGUUCUGAUCCUCGCUUGAAGAGGUACAUAGGCACCCACAAAUUGUGGAGUUCGAGCCAAUCAAUGUUUCAAAUUUUAUCUUGCAGAGAACUAUACGUUAUUACCAAAUGCCAGAUAACUGCUGCUAUUAAAAUGGAUGGAAAAUUAGUUUGCAGUGUAGCAUGAGUGCAAGGUAAUGUUCUUCCACAUUUUUCACAAUGAAUAGCUACAUUGAAAUCUUUUGUGCAAAUAUUGUUCGCGCUUCAUAUUGGUAUGUUCAUUGUUCUUGUAUGGAAAAUCAAAUUAGUAUUGUGAUCGAUUUUAUAUGGUGAUACUUCAAUUUGAGUACAGGCCAUUUAUCAAGAUGCACUGAACCAAAAAAUUGAUCUUUUCACAAGUUUAUUUGUGUGUUAAAUUAGCGGUGGUAUUUCUCUGAAAGUCUCUUUCCUUACAUUACAGUUGGCCAAAAUAGUUUCUUAACAUGGUUAAAGCAAGCGCACAUAUUCAAAACAAGCCUCGAGAAGAAAAAUAUGAGGGUAUGCACAUGCCUGUUUUAAGAUUUCUAUCUAAAUGACAUAUAAAUUUAGGGGUAUGAGAAUCUUGUAUGACCUUUCUUUCAGACAUUCAUUGGCUGUGGGUGAAAAGGUCAUACUGCAAUUCAAAUGAAGAGGGGACCAAUCGCUGUUAUUAUUAUAAAAUUAUGUUCACCCAUAGAAAUCUACUGUAUAUGUAUGGAGAGGAACCAGAAAAAAUUCAUGUCAAGUACAUCCUCCCCUAUUGCUGCUGCUAAGUCGGUCGUUUAAACUGCCCGAGAAAGAAUGAAAUUAGCGGUUAAACUUGCAAUACUGUUGGAAAUAUAUAGCAUAAUUGGAUGAGUUGAUUACUUCUUUGCAAAACUAAUUUCAGACCUAAACUUUUUUAAUCAGUCAUUAUAUUUUCAUGCAAAGCAUGUAUUAGAGUGCCUGCACACAUGUAUAUAUAUACCAUUCAUUUUUAUCAAUGCCUGCUCACAUGUAUUACCAUUCUUUUUUGUCAA